rnacentral:misc_RNA from 1 species
UUUCCGUAGGUGAACCUGCGGAAGGAUCAUUCAUGAGUAUUGAAUGAAGUUGUUCUGGUCUUUCGGGGCAAGUGAACGCUUCUCUCAAUCCAUCUUACUCCUGUGCACCUAUCGGGGAAGACUUGGAUCUAAGUUCGGUCACUACGUCGAUCUACAGUCACCUCUUAAUACCAAAUAACAGUUUUAGAAAGUCUUUUUUGUUAGAUGCAAACUUAACAAAAUACAACUUUCAGCAACGGAUCUCUUGGCUCUC